CCGAACCCACGCACGUUGAAAAGUGCGGGGAUGAGGUGUGGGUAGCGGAGAAAUUCCAAUCGAACUUGGAGAUAGCUGGUUCUCUCCGAAAUAGCUUUAGGGCUAGCCUCGAGGUAAAGAGUCAUGGAGGUAGAGCACUGUUUGGACUAGGGGCCCUUCUCGGGUUACCGAAUUCAGAUAAACUCCGAAUGCCAUGUACUUAUACUCGGGAGUCAGACUGCGAGUGAUAAGAUCCGUAGUCGAAAGGGAAACAGCCCAGACCACCAGUUAAGGUCCCCAAAUAUAUGUUAAGUGGAAAAGGAUGUGGGGUUGCUUAGACAACCAGGAUGUUGGCUUAGAAGCAGCCACCAUUGAAAGAGUGCGUAAUAGCUCACUGGUCGAGUGACCCCGCGCCGAAAAUGUACCGGGGCUAAACAUAUUACCGAAACUGUGGAUGAACCUCUUUAGAGGUUCGUGGUAGGAGAGCGUUCUAAGGGCGGUGAAGUCAGACCGGAAGGACUGGUGGAGCGCUUAGAAGUGAGAAUGCCGGUAUGAGUAGCGAAAGAAGGG
rnacentral:rRNA from 1 species